rnacentral:lncRNA from 1 species
GUGGCCGCUAGUAACGCAUACGAAUGGGCACCUGAAAUGUGCCUGGUGGGACCGAGCGAUUGAAUGCUAAUUCCGUUUAGUGCGGUCCCCCGACUGGAUCCUGGGACAGUAGUGGAAACACUGCUGAAAUCUGAAUGGAGCCUGGAGUGAGUGGGGAGUGACGUCACGGAGUGUUAGUUCUGGCAGGUGGACCACAGUAACGUAAGACGUCAGGGGAAGAGCGUAGGGAGUUCUCUGUACUUGCUUAACAUUUCUGUAGACCUAAAACUAUUCCAAAAUGAUGCUUAUUUUAAAAACUAAUACAAGUUUUGUGCUAGGUUUUUCCUAGACGUUAAAGUCAGACACUUAUACCUUCUCUGAUCAAGGACAAGAGCAUACUUGAACCCUUGUUGGUUCCGGCCUUCGUAUGUUUGGGAACCGCAGCUGGAGAGGAGGCAAGCUCUUCAGCUGCUCGGAAGCACGAUGGGAAGCGAAGGUACCUACCUCUGCCUGGUGGCCAGUCCUACACCCCUAGGGCCUUCAGCUACCUGCAGACACAAGCGUUGAGCCCAGCAUGAGGCCAAGGACCCGAGACACGGCUGUCCUGAUGGCCACUCCUCCAUGAAAAGGUGCCACCAAAGCUGGCGCAUCUUUGAGGUUCCUUUCAGCUCAUUCUGAAUGUACCUUGAAUUAUGAAAAACUGGUGGACCCAGGACCCCACAUGUCACCUGUGUUCUUCACAGCGCCCCCUAGUGGUCAACAGUAAAGAUGUCUCACUGUUUCCAUUUUAAUAAUGAAGAAAUUGAGAACUGGCUCCGCCUCACCGAGCUUCAGCAUGGCAGCCUGAGAUCCCGUGUCUGAGUUCUACUGUGCCAGGCACUGUCCUACAGUGCAGAAGACAGGCGAGGGCCCUGUCCUCAUGGAGUUUAUAUCCUUACAGAGCACUCGAGAGCAUGCAUCCUGGGGGCCAACAAACCUUCAUUCUGCAUCCCAUUUCUACCACAUCCUGGCUGCAAGAAUCUGGAGAAAACCUGCUCAUGCUUCCGUGAACCUCCGUUUUCUAAUCUGUAAAACGUGAAUGAUGAUUCUCACAGUGCUGGGGGAAGAAGUGUGCUUGAAAUUAAAGCAUUCAUUCUUAAGACCUGAUACACCCUGACAACUACCAUUUCCUGACACCCACCGUUAAUCUCCCAAGUGGAAGAAUCUUGAACCACAUACUGGUUGAGCUAGGAAACGGGGAGAAAAAAGACCUAACUCUCAACGACUUAAUUUUGAGACUCCAGCCAGAAAUUACAUAGCAACAGUAAACCCAAACCUGAGAAAAGUCUGGAACCUCUGUUUUGGGUCCCAGUUUUGUCCUUGGUAAAAGUCCAUAGGUAUUGAGGCUAAAGGUCAGCAUUUCCUGAUAGGAAAAGGAAACCUUGGGAUCAGUCAGUGUGUCUGUUUCAAUAGGAGCAUCACAGGAACCUAAUGAGGUCUUCCAGCUGUGUCAGGACCAUCAAACAAAGUGCAGGGAACGUAAGUGCAUCAUGACUCUCUGGGUUUUGGGGCUGACGGCAGCCACACCAGCCCCAGGGCCACGUGACAUCUGCCUUCCUGAGCAUUGUCCCUGCCGUGAGUAAAUAAUGGCUCCUUAAUCAAAACCAGACUGCGCCUCUUGGCCCAGCCAGCACCUCGCCGGCACCAGCCUUCCCCUCUGCCUGUGAGCUUUUGAGCCGGGGGUCCAGGGGGUCUUUGUCUACACGUUCCAAAGCCAGCUUCUUAGAGAGCUGCCUCUGUCUAGUUUCCUUCUCGGCACCAGCCAGCCCGUCUGUCGGAGGGCAGCAGGAAGUGGGGAGGCAAGAUGCUGAGGACCACCUCUCUGUCCCCAAUCCCAAGGGCCUGCUGGCCAUCUCUGGCCCUGCUCCGUUCUGUGGGAUUAUUCCAAGGCUGGGAUGUAGGGUGUGAGGAGAGAAUUUGAGAAGCAUUUGCUUCUGUGCUUUCUGGAAUACCCUUAAUGGUGGGGGAGAGUGAAGACACGCUCUUUUCUUAAAUAACACAAUUGACUGACUAAACCAUGUUAAACUCAGCUGACUUCAUGCCAGCUGGUCCUAUUGUCCUGGUGUGGGUGGCAGGGCUCGUGGAGCCAACCAGAAUGGCGUGAAGCAGCCUCCAGCAUCAGCCGCUUGGACCAGAAAUUCCAGCAACCCCUCGCCCCACCCCCAGGAGGGCUGCAGAGUCGCUGGGGUCUGCUGGACCACUUUCUCUGCUUCUUCUGAGACAAGAAGCUGGCAUCAGACCUUCUUUCCUGAGGGGGGCCUGGGCCCACCUGCGCAUUCCAAGGAGAGCCCUGCUUUCUCUGGGCUCCCGUUGGUACCCAAGGACCGACUGGCAGGAUCUGGCCAGCACGCAGCCCCUCCAGCAGGACCUCGGUCCCUGCCUCUGCAGGAGACACGAGUGGACAGACUGGGUCACCCCCUCUCACUGAGACUGGCGAUCCCACCUCCCACCUCCCCAUCUCCAGUGCCCACCUCGCGCUCUCCUGCGUCACUUCUGGCAGAACCGUCUCCCCUUGCUUGCUUGUUUGCCUGCCGAAGUGCCCGCCCUGGGGCUAUAGCACUGAGCAGCCCCCCAUCGCAAUUAGGAACUGCCUUUGAAGACAUGAACGUGAAAAAUUUGUGUCCAACCUCUGAGUAUGCCCCUCUUGUGCAUCCCUGGCAAUGUCACUCUCCACAAACUUAUUCACCUUUCUGCCUCAGUUUGUUCAUCUGUAAAAUGGGGAUAAUAGUACCCAUCUCACUGGCUCAUUGUGAGGAUUAAAUAAGUGAUAUUUUAUGAAGCACUGAGAACAGCGCUCGGCACCGUAGGUUGUGGUUGGCUAAAGAAAACCCCAUUAAAUCCUCACGGAAGGACUGUUGUCCUGCUCUUACUAAUAAGGGAACAGAGCUGGGGUCUCUGUGCCUCACAGAUCACGUAGUAAGGGGCAGGCUCCGAAUCCAACUUCUGAGCCCAGGCAGUCAGACUCCAGUGUCCGCCGCGCGCCCCGUUGAAUAUCGUGCCUCGCUGGUUUGAUGGUGACUUGGCGCAAGAUGGUUUUUGUCUCUGAACGUGAUCAUUUUGUGUUCUGCAGCCACACGAUCCAUCAACCUCAACACUAUCCCUUCAGACGACUGACCUGUUAGCCCAGGACUCCUCGGCCAGUCUACUGUCCUAUGAUUACCAACGAUAAACAAUGGCUUCAGCUUUCCACCAGUCCGUUAAACAGCGGGUGGCGAGAGCUGAUGUCUUAGGAAGGUGGACCGUGUUAAUCCCAGCCCCGUGCCAACUGGUCGUAUUGGAACAACUAACGUUUAUAUUGGACUUACUAGGUGUCGAGCACUCUUCUAAGGUCUUUGCAUGUGUAGCUUCUCUGGGCCUCGAUUUCCCCAUCUGCGAUACGGGAAGGGGGCGUUGUUUCGAGGAUUGAGUUCACUUGUCUGAGUUGCACAUAGUAAGAGGCAGAACUAGAUGUUGAGGCCUGGCCUUCUGGCUCCUGGUCUGUGCUCCUGACCAGCCCUCUUGGGACCAGCGAGCAUCCCCCCCCCAACCCUUCGUCUCCAAGUCUUCUCUGAAAGCCAAGUGCACCACGGGGCCCGGGCGAGAUGGGUGCGUCUGGCAGCGGGCAGUGCGUUUGUUAUUCCUGCCCCACCUGCUGGAGUGAGGGUGGCUUGGUCUGAAGAGGACAUUGAG